ACUCGUAUCAUUCCCCUCUUCCUCAAAAAGAUUCGUCCUCGAAUCUGAAAAAUCAAAUGAACUCGACUUUCCUCUAUCAAACGGGACUAAUGGCAAUUGAGUCCACUGAAAAGAAUAGCCAUGAGAUAGUAAAUAGCAACGGAAACAAGCUUGUAGUCCAAUCAUAAGCAUAACAGAACAGGUAUAACGCAUGUGAAUGGACAGAUUCAGAUUACCAUGCAAACAAUCUAAUUUACUCACCACUGC
rnacentral:lncRNA from 1 species